rnacentral:misc_RNA from 1 species
CAUGCGUUAAGCUAGCAUUGGGCUUAAGGAUGUCCUUGAUACAAGGUUAAAAUUGAGGAUUAAGUUUUCUAAAGAGAGUAAUUGUAACUUAGCCCCUAAAUUCAACCUUGAGAAACUAAGGGGGUAAGUUAACAAUUAACCAUCUCCUAUGGGAGAAAGGCAUACCAAAAUAGUUUGCCAUCAACAAUGAACAAGAUAUGGAUUCAAUCCAAUCAAACAUGAGCAUA